CGCCCCGCACCCGCCCCGGUCCCGCCCCGCACCCGCCCCGGACCCGCCUCCCAGGCCCGAGCGGACCCUGACCUGAAGGCUUCCCGGCCUCGGCUGUACCUGUGCCCUACGGGUUAGCAUGCUGCGUUCCGGAACUUAACAGAUUGGCGAGUUGAUGUGAACAUUGAGUACAGAGGAGCCCUCCGGACCGAAGCGGAUGCAGACUUCCUCUCAGCGGGCAGAGGCCUUUGCAGGGUCGGCGGGAGCAACGCUGCUCACACUGCCGCUCACACUGCCGGGGCGGCCCGGAGGUUCCUGAUAAAAGGUCCUGGAACGACUGAAUCGGCAGUUUAAAUAAAUAAAGUACAUCCAUUGUUCA